ensembl:lncRNA
AUUUUGAAGAUACUAAUAGAAAAUGUGCAACUCCUGAUUGUCUCCUGUAGAAGUAAAUAGUAUUGAGUCCACAGAGAAUAUGAGCCUCUAUCUUCAGUAACGUAUUUCAAAGCUUCAGUUCGCUGUACCCGAUCUUAUUCACGUGGAGGAGUGAAGACACCACGCAACGUCUGAGAUGUCUUCUCUGUUGAUUUCUCAGAAGUACGUUGUAUGGAGCACACCUUUUGCACACCUUUUUCCAGAUGAUGCAGAGAUGCUGUUUGAUUGCUCCCGGUACAGAGCUGGUAACUGCAUCUUCCAGAGAAAUAAAAGUCCAAGCAAUUAAUGAAGUAUGCAUGGAGGCAGUGGUAAAAGACCAAAUGUAGUACCUUAGAUGUUCCCUUCUUCUCUGCUGGAACACAGAGGGAUACUCUUGGGAGGUACUGACUGCAUCAGUGUGGACCAGCUCUUGGCCAUCUCAACAUUUUGGUACAUGUCUCACGAGCUCAGGAAGACCAGUCAGUGCUGGGGUUUGGCAGCACAGACAGGACUCGCUGAAUUCAUCUGAAAACCUCUCCCAGAUGCAUCCCAGAUGCAUGGUCUCAAAACCAUGCUCCCCUUCUGCAGUGGACACGACGAGGGUGAAGGUGGGUGCCGUGCUAACAUGUGACGGUUCGCCAGGAUGUUAUGUGCUGCUGUUCUCCCGUGUUGCUAUUCCCCUGGCAAUGACAGCAAUUGUUUGACACAUCAUCCUGCCUGCCGCAUGCCUGAGCUGCACAGUGCUGGCAUGAGCUGGCGUUACACCUGCCGAGUAAUUGCGCUCUCGCUAGCUUCAAGAUCAGGCACGUGAGCCUCAACCAUUCUGAGAACAGCUUCGGCCGAGCACAAAAUCAAGUUAAAGAGAGAAACCCAGCAGGCAGCGAGGUGCUGAGUCACCACGCAGCCCUCCUCGGAUAGCCUUGCAGCAGUGCAGAGGAUCAAAGGUGAGGUGACCUUGUGCAUGGGAGGUGAGGCGAAGUCCUCUGCGCGGGCUGGAAUGUACAUUAGCUCAGGAAUGCAGACAGGCAAACAGGGCUGAGCGAGCGCCUUUAUUAGCUGCUCUAGGCACGGCUCUGAGAUCGUCCGCGUCUAAGAGGAAAAAGCUCUGCGUUUGUCCAAAACUCUGAGAAUCAAAUGCUCACAACGUAUUCUUCAACCUGUUCUUCUGACCGGGACUGCGAUUAGGCUGGGUGAUCUUUGGUUUUGUUCUGCUCUGGUUUGAAGCUAGCUGGGUCAUUCUGGGAAGCCUGGAAACCUCUCUUUAAUUUGCUAAAUAGGAAACUUGCAUCCAGCCUGUAAUUUCACAAUUCUCAUUAUAAUCUGCAAAGCAGGAUUACAACAGGCUGUGUUUUAAAGAUUACUAUUUCCCAUCCCAGCUCCAGCCCACUCUCUUUAUUUCAGUGAUCAAAAUAUCAAGGUCAUUAUUUCUGGGUAUAUUCUGCACUUGCUGAUUUCUAUACCGACUCCUGGCCUAGGUAAUUAAACUAAGCUACCUUUUGACUACUUUUAGAGGGAUUGUCCGGCCAGGC